AAGAAGUACUGGGCAGGCUAACGAGUUAGCGGAAAGAUCCUAAUUCGCGAUCAUGCCAACACGCGAAAACGGACUUCUAAAGGAAUGUAAACGAACAUUUGGAGCAAUACUAAAUUGUCCUAAAGGUUAGACAUAUGUGAUCAUUCAUUUCUCUUAUUAGGAGACCCACUUACAUCGUCAAUGACUGCUGUACCACUGUAACAUGUAUGUACACGAACGUGAAACAGGAAGUGGUAUCGCCUGAAAACGGCCUUCAAAAUUAAGCA